rnacentral:tRNA from 1 species
ACGACUGUAACUUAAUUGGAUAAAGUAUUUAGCUACGAACUAAAAUAUUAUAGGUUCAAAUCCUAUCAGUCGUA